rfam:Oryza barthii chromosome 9, whole genome shotgun sequence.
AAUAAGUGCAGCCAUGAGUUUCGGCGCCCAACUUUGAUCGUCCGUCUUAUUUGAAUUUUUUAUAAUUAGUAUUUUUGUUGUUAUAAGAUGAUAAAACAUGAAUAUUACUUUACUCAUGACUUGUGUUUUUAAUUUUUUUUCAAAAGUUUUUCAAAUAAGACGAAUGGUCAAAGUUGGACGCGAAAAACCAUAACUGCACUUAUU